CAUGGAGACAUGAAAAACAUCGUGUAGACCCAUAAACUCUCAGGGUAGAGCAAGGUGGUACGCCAUGGGUCCAACACAUUCCACAAUUUGAAAAGAUCCCGCAUAAAAGGGGCUCAACUUUCCCUUCUUACUGAAUCAUAUUGUUUCCUAGUAAGGGAAGAUCUUAAGGAAGACUUGAUCACCAACUGUAAAUUCUAAAGAUCCUCUAUAGUUGUCAGCAUAGCUUUUCUGGGUACUCUGGGUAAUGGCUAAGUUCCUUUGAAUGAUAGCAACUUUUUUGAUAGUCUCCUGGUUGAAAUCAGGUCCCAAAUGAUGCUAGUUCCCGACUUCGUUCCAACAAGUGGGAUAACGAUAGGGCCUAUUGUAUAG
rnacentral:lncRNA from 1 species